rnacentral:rRNA from 1 species
AUACGGAGGGUGCAAGCGUUGUUCGGAAUCACUGGGCGUAAAGGGCGCGCAGGCGGUUUGGUAAGUCAGAUGUGAAAGCCCACGGCUCAACCGUGGAAGUGCAUUUGAAACUGCCAGACUUGAGUACCAGAGGGGAAAGUGGAAUUCCCGGUGUAGAGGUGAAAUUCGUAGAUAUCGGGAGGGAUACCGGUGGCGAAGGCGACUUUCUGGCUGGAUACUGACGCUGAGGCGCGAAAGCGUGGGGAGCAAACAGGAUUAGAAACCCUAGUAGUCC